rnacentral:rRNA from 1 species
UACGUAGGUGGCAAGCGUUGUCCGGAUUUAUUGGGUUUAAAGGGUGCGUAGGCGGUUUUGUAAGUCAGUGGUGAAAUACUCCAGCUUAACUGGAGGGGUGCCAAUGAUACUGCAGAACUUGAGUACAGAUGAGGUAGGCGGAAUUGACGGUGUAGCGGUGAAAUGCAUAGAUAUCGUCAAGAACACCGAUAGCGAAGGCAGCUUACUGGGCUGUAACUGACGCUGAGGCACGAAAAGUGUGGGGAUCAAACAGG